GACGAACGCUGGCGGCGUGCUUAACACAUGCAAGUCGUGCGGUAAGGCCCUUUCGGGGGUACACGAGCGGCGAACGGGUGAGUAACACGUGCGCAACCUGCCCUUCACUUUGGGAUAACCGCCGGAAACGGUGGCCAAUACCGGAUAUGACUUCCUCACGCAUGUGGGGUGGUGGAAAGCCUUCGGGUGGUGGGGGAUGGGCUCGCGGUCUAUCAGCUUGUUGGUGGGGUGAUGGCCUACCAAGGCUUCGACGGGUAGCCGGCCUGAGAGGGUGACCGGCCACACUGGGACUGAGACACGGCCCAGACUCCUACGGGCGGCAGCAGUGGGGAAUGUUGGACAAUGGGCGAAAGCCUGAUCCAGCAACGCCGCGUGAGGGAUGACGGCCUUCGGGUUGUAAACCUCUUUCGCCUGCGACGAAGCGAGAGUGACGGUAGCAGGUAAAGAAGCACCGGCCAACUACGUG
rnacentral:rRNA from 1 species